UUGUUUCUAGGAGGGCUGCCGUGAGCCAACGAGUUUUUUGGCGGGUCUCUUGAAGUGACAGAGGACAUAAGAGGUAGGGCUGUCAUGGGCGCGGGGCGCCUUGAGUGCUGCCCUCAGACGCGCAGGUGGAGAAAACCUGAAACCUCCUGAGAAUGGAGAUCUCUGUGACACAGAUGGCAGGCUUACCCUAAAGUGCAGCAGCCACAAGCUGCUCCUGUUUAGUGGGCAAUGGGACUUUUUCAGCAGAACAUCAAACAAAGGAGACUGAGCUGGCUUGUGACAUGGCCCUGCAAGCACUUCCUACCAAGCCUGACAGAAACCCUGUGGAAAGAUUGAACCAACUCCAGCAAGUUGUUCCCUGACCUUGGCCCAUAGACAUUGGCAUAUGUGUGCACACAUGGACACAAAAUAAUUGUAAUAAAGCAUGUUUUAAAGAGGA